rfam:Anopheles funestus strain FTMOZ unplaced genomic scaffold supercont1.265, whole genome shotgun sequence.
CAAUCGGCCCUUUUCAGGGCCACCAAUUCUUCCUGAAAAAAGAUA